GUGUUGUAUGACAGGAGAGAAGGUUAGCACUCCCCUUGACAAGGAUGGAAAAAGCCCUAGUCUACUGGCCUUCAACAUGGCAUCUUGAAUGUGGUCCAUUCUGGCUUAGUUGGUAGAGCACAGUAUUUG